rnacentral:rRNA from 1 species
UACAGAGGUCUCAAGCGUUGUUCGGAUUCAUUGGGCGUAAAGGGUGCGUAGGCGGCGCGGUAAGUCGGGUGUGAAAUCUUGGAGCUUAACUCCGAAACUGCAUUCGAUACUGCCGUGCUUGAGGACUGGAGAGGAGACUGGAAUUUACGGUGUAGCGGUGAAAUGCGUAGAUAUCGUAAGGAAGACCAGUGGCGAAGGCGGGGUCUCUGGACAGUUCCUGACGCUGAGGCACGAAGGUCAGGGGGAGCAAAACGGGG